rnacentral:rRNA from 1 species
AGAGUUUGAUCCUGGCUCAGGAUGAACGCUAGCGGCAGGCCUAACACAUGCAAGUCGAGGGGCAGCGGGAGUGCUUGCACUCGCCGGCGACCGGCGCACGGGUGCGGAACGCGUAUGGAAUCUACCUCUUUCUGGGGAAUAGCCCAUGGAAACGUGGAUUAAUACCCCAUAGUAUUCAGAGAUCGCAUGAUCUCUGUCUUAAAGCUUUGGCGGAAAGAGAUGACCAUGCGUAUCAUUAGCUAGUAGGCGAGGUAACGGCUCACCUAGGCAACGAUGAUUAGGGGUCCUGAGAGGGAGAUCCCCCACACUGGUACUGAGACACGGACCAGACUCCUACGGGAGGCAGCAGUGAGGAAUAUUGGACAAUGGUCGAAAGACUGAUCCAGCCAUGCCGCGUGCAGGAUGAAUGCCCUAUGGGUUGUAAACUGCUUUUAUACGGGAAGAACACCACCCACGUGUGGGUGACUGACGGUACCGUAAGAAUAAGGACCGGCUAACUCCGUGCCAGCAGCCGCGGUAAUACGGAGGGUCCAAGCGUUAUCCGGAAUCAUUGGGUUUAAAGGGUCCGUAGGCGGGCUAUUAAGUCAGAGGUGAAAGUUUGCAGCUCAACUGUAAAAUUGCCUUUGAUACUGGUAGUCUUGAGUUAUAGUGAAGUGGUUAGAAUAUGUGGUGUAGCGGUGAAAUGCAUAGAUAUCACAUAGAAUACCAAUUGCGAAGGCAGAUCACUAACUAUAUACUGACGCUGAUGGACGAAAGCGUGGGGAGCGAACGGGAUUAGAUACCCCGGUAGUCCACGCCGUAAACGAUGGAUACUAGCUGUUGGAAUUUUUCAGUGGCUAAGCGAAAGUGAUAAGUAUCCCACCUGGGGAGUACGUUCGCAAGAAUGAAACUCAAAGGAAUUGACGG